rnacentral:rRNA from 1 species
AUUGAACGCUGGCGGCAGGCCUAACACAUGCAAGUCGAGCGGAUGAAGGGAGCUUGCUCCUGGAUUCAGCGGCCGACGGGUGAGUAAUGCCUAGGAAUCUGCCUGGUAGUGGGGGAUAACGUCCGGACACGGGCGCUAAUACCGCAUACGUCCUGAGGGAGAAAGUGGGGGAUCUUCGGACCUCACGCUCUCAGAUGAGCCUAGGUCGGAUUAGCUAGUUGGUGGGGUAAAGGCCUACCAAGGCGACGAUCCGUAACUGGUCUGAGAGGAUGAUCAGUCACACUGGAACUGAGACACGGUCCAGACUCCUACGGGAGGCAGCAGUGGGGAAUAUUGGACAAUGGGCGAAAGCCUGAUCCAGCCAUGCCGCGUGUGUGAAGAAGGUCUUCGGAUUGUAAAGCACUUUAAGUUGGGAGGAAGGGCAGUAAGUUAAUACCUUGCUGUUUUGACGUUACCAACAGAAUAAGCACCGGCUAACUUCGUG